rnacentral:rRNA from 1 species
CUUACUACUUGGAUAACCGUGGUAAUUCUAGAGCUAAUACAUGCUGAAAACCCCAACUUCGGGAGGGGUGUAUUUAUUAGAUAAAAACCAACGCCCUUCGGGGCUUCUUGGUGAUUUCAUGAUAACUUUACGGAUCGCAUGGCCUUGCGCCGGCGACGGUUCAUUCAAAUUUCUGCCCUAUCAACUUUCGAUGGUAAGGUAUUGGCUUACCAUGGUUUCAACGGGUAACGGGGAAUUAGGGUUCGAUUCCGGAGAGGGAGCCUGAGAAACGGCUACCACAUCCAAGGAAGGCAGCAGGCGCGCAAAUUACCCAAUCCCGACACGGGGAGGUAGUGACAAUAAAUACUGAUACAGGGCUCUUUUGGGUCUUGUAAUUGGAAUGAGUACAAUUUAAACCUCUUAACGAGGAACAAUUGGAGGGCAAGUCUGGUGCCAGCAGCCGCGGUAAUUCCAGCUCCAAUAGCGUAUAUUAAAGUUGUUGCAGUUAAAAAGCUCGUAGUUGAAACUUGGGUCUGGCUGGCAGGUCCGCCUCACCGCGUGUACUUGUCCGGCCGGGCCUUCCUUCUGGAGAACCUCAUGCCCUUCACUGGGCGUGUUGGGGACCAGGACUUUUACUUUGAAAAAAUUAGAGUGUUCAAAGCAGGCCUUUGCUCGAAUACGUUAGCAUGGAAUAAUAGAAUAGGACGUGCGGUCCUAUUUUGUUGGUUUCUAGGACCGCCGUAAUGAUUAAUAGGGACAGUCGGGGGCAUCAGUAUUCAAUUGUCAGAGGUGAAAUUCUUGGAUUUAUUGAAGACUAACUACUGCGAAAGCAUUUGCCAAGGAUGUUUUCAUUAAUCAGUGAACGAAAGUUAGGGGAUCGAAGACGAUCAGAUACCGUCGUAGUCUUAACCGUAAACUAUGCCGACUAGGGAUCGGGCGAUGUUCUUUUUCUGACUCGCUCGGCACCUUACGAGAAAUCAAAGUUUUUGGGUCUGGGGAGAUCCACGG